UCGAGGACCUGUGGGCGCCUGAAGGGCCUGUCUUCCGCCGCACUGUCGCCACGUCGGGAAAGAAGCAUCGGGCAUCAGGAGCAAUGGCGCCCCAGGGGUCAUGGCUGCUCGCGGUUCAUCAGCGUUUGUUUUGAAACUGAUGGGUACCACAAGGCAUGAAAGAGGUGACUUGCAGCAGCAAGACACUGCAAGCCUUCGCAGCAACUGGCUAGCCAGUGCUGCUCUGUUCUGAACUGCACUGCGUGUCAUGCGGAGGGUUUGUGCAAGCUCUCUGGGCGGCGAUGCUAGCCACGGUAAGUGCAUUCUAUGCAGCUUUCUUUUAGGGAUAUAUGUGGCCCGCAGGCCAUGUCGUGCCAGCGAAAUAUGUGCCACCCGAGUGACAGCAGUGCUAGUGGCAAGGCUGCGCUGACAGUAAUCAACACUGCACUGUGUUUUCAUUCAAUAACUAGUGACAAGGAACCAAAUACUCCCGAGAGAGUCUCGGUUGUGCUUUGAUGAACUCCAGCUCGCUUAUGAACAGGUGGAUGGCACAGAUGGCUUUUCCUGGUGGGCUUGGUGUCCGUGUAACAAUGCAACCAGACUUUCUUUCAGUUUGUGGCGUUUUUUCGUUGCGGGUGACUAGCAUUGCAGUAGAAAAAGAUGCAAAAUAGUAUAAUGUUUGCAUUCGUUACCUAAAUUAAUGGCAAGAACAACUGACCUACAUUUCCACCGACUGCAUUUCUCGGAGGAAUAGCCUGGACUAAAAAGCUCGCUACACUAUGUCGUUCCCUCUUAGCCUGUACAACUCUGCGUCUUCCCUCGAUUGUCUUGUGUGGCUGCUUCUGUGUCUGCCUAGGCACUCGGUUGAAAUGGGGAAAGCUGUCUGCGUUGCACAUAACCGCCAUAAGAGCCAGCGUGGGCGUAGCUGGGGUAGCCCCCCCUAUGGCUUCUCCAGCUCGACACAAGUAACAUUCCUACCGCUGUCGUGUUAGCAGAAAACAGACCUGCUUAAAACAUACAGUGCACGUAGUACACAAUGGAGUGGUUGCUCGCCAAUCAUUUUCUUGGAAGUGUGAGUUGAGCCCCUUCGAGGCAGUUUGCUUCCGCACCGUGCACUAUAAUCGGCCCGAGAAGAGAAAACAAGAUGAAUAACUAGUAGGAUUUCUUUGUUCCAAGGCUUCUUGAUGCAGAAAAAGACUAGGGAACCAGUAUUGUUGCUUUUUACUACCCCGUGCGAGACUCAAACCCGACAUGCAAGGAAGUGGAAAGACCUCUUCCUUUCUGCUUUCUUGUGCCUUGGGUUUUAGUUGUGUUCACAAUUCACAGCUCGCCUGCAUGACUACUCUUUUGUUCACUGUGUUACUGAAGUUUUUUGUCGUUGCUGUCCCAGAUUGGCUUCAUGGAUGCACAGAAAUACUCAAGGCGCUUGACGUCUGUGGCUCAUCUGUAUUGUUUUUCCCGGUACCACGGCAUGGAAGGAGCUGGCCUCCCUCCCUUCCAUCAGCUGCGAUACACUACAAGCACUGGGCUACAGCUGCAGCUAGCCCAUGGGUACCGGGGACCAUGACAUCAAUGAGUUGGCUUUCACCUUGUCCAAGGCAGCAGCGGAACACUUCGGGCGGGACCCUGGAUCACUGCACCAUGGAUGCUGUCCUGUACCCUUCACGGCACUGCGUGUGGCUUAAGUGGCCAAGCAGAGGGUCAUUGCAUGACUUUUAUGAGGCGCCGCUAGCCAUUGUUUCAAACCGCCCUGAAUCGUGGAUCAAGCCUUGCAAGAUGGAAGUUCUCUUUAGGCCCAGCGCCUCUUGAUGGAUCAAGUCUUGUACC